UUUUCUCCCAGAUCACCUCUCUCACUAAAAGCUACACAAUUCAUCAUAAACAAUAUUGAUUAACAUCAAGAACCAGUGAUCUAUUUUAUUCAAGGAACCAAUUUUCUUUUUCCAUAUUUUCAUAACCAUUUUUUUUUUUGGAAAUAUACAACACAACAUGCAGAAUUGUCGAGAGAAAACGAAAGGCCAUCAAUAUUUUUUUGUGUUUGCU
rnacentral:lncRNA from 1 species